GGCUUUGUUUGCGCAGGAUAGGUGGGAGGCGUUGAAAGUUUUCUUGCGGGAAGAUUUGAGCCAUUGGUGAGAUACCACUCUAACAAUGCUAGGAUUCUAACCCUAUGUCGUUAUCCGGCUAGGGGACAGUUUCAGGUGGUCAGUUUGACUGGGGCGGUCGCCUCCUAAAAGGUAACGGAGGCGUGCAAAGGUUCCCUCAGGCUGGUUGGAAAUCAGUCGUAGAGUGUAAAGGCAUAAGGGAGCUUGAUUGUGAGACCUACAAGUCGAACAAAGACGAAAGUCGGCCUUAGUGAUCCGGCGGUACCGAGUGGAAGGGCCGUCGCUCAACGGAUAAAAGUUACUCUAGGGAUAAC
rnacentral:rRNA from 1 species